CUAGAUGAGUAGAUUCAUAUAAAUUUCGAGAACUACAAUAAAAUAAUAAUAAAAAAAAAAAAUCGCAGUAUUUCAAUUUUCUGGAUUCGCAAAACCCUAACCUGAGGAGGCGAUUCCGAUGAGUUCGCGGGGAGCGGCGGCGGUGCUAUCGAGGGCGAGCAGGAUAAGGUCGAAGCUGCAAUCGGCGCUGGAAGCCACCGUUCUGGAGGUGGACGACGUGUCGCACCAGCACGCGGGCCACGCCGCCGUGAGGGGAAGCUCCGACAUGGAAACCCACUUCAACGUGAAGAUCGUGUCCCCCAAGUUCGAGGGCCAGAGCCUCGUCAAACGACACCGCAUCGUCUACGACCUCCUCGCCGACGAGCUUCAGUCCGGUUUGCACGCCCUCUCCAUCGUCGCCAAGACGCCCCGCGAAACCAACCCCAACCCCAACCCCAACCCCGCCGACUGACGCUGCCAAAGUUCCAAGCUUUUGCUCUUUUUGGGUAUAUCGGAUUUGUUGGGAUCCUUUAUGGUGUGGGAGAUUGUGAACAAUGUAGCUGAUACGGCUGUAAUUAUGCUCACAUCACCUUGACUGCGACUUCAAGGUGAAAACUUCUAGGACUAAAGCAGCACAAGGUGCCACCUUCAGAGAUCUACUUGGCUUUUGCUUUGCUCUAUGAAUGGAACCUUAAUCAUUGUGGCUGAGUGAUCCAUAGAAUUUUCAUUCAAUUUUGCUGGGAGGAUGCCUCAGUGGAUAUGAAGCAUAAAAGUAUAAAAGAUGAUGGCAACCCUCAUAUAAAUGUUGAAUAGGGAAAUUUUAUGUCGUUGUUCGGAAUUUUAGUGGAAGUGAUUGAAUAAUGGGAUAGAUAACAAUUAUUAUAAUUAUAAUAAUAUAAAUUUCUACCUUGAUUUUGCA